rnacentral:rRNA from 1 species
GUUUGAUCAUGGCUCAGGAUGAACGCUGGCGGCGUGCUUAACACAUGCAAGUCGAACGAAGCACCCUGGACAGAUUCUUCGGAUGAAAUCUUUGGUGACUGAGUGGCGGACGGGUGAGUAACGCGUGGGUAACCUGCCUCAUACAGGGGGAUAACAGUUAGAAAUGGCUGCUAAUACCGCAUAAGCGCACGGUACCGCAUGGUACAGUGUGAAAAACUCCGGUGGUAUGAGAUGGACCCGCGUUGGAUUAGCUAGUUGGCAGGGUAACGGCCUACCAAGGCGACGAUCCAUAGCCGGCCUGAGAGGGUGGACGGCCACAUUGGGACUGAGACACGGCCCAGACUCCUACGGGAGGCAGCAGUGGGGAAUAUUGCACAAUGGGGGAAACCCUGAUGCAGCGACGCCGCGUGAGCGAAGAAGUAUUUCGGUAUGUAAAGCUCUAUCAGCAGGGAAGAAAAUGACGGUACCUGACUAAGAAGCCCCGGCUAACUACGUGCCAGCAGCCGCGGUAAUACGUAGGGGGCAAGCGUUAUCCGGAUUUACUGGGUGUAAAGGGAGCGUAGACGGAAUGGCAAGUCUGAUGUGAAAGGCCGGGGCUCAACCCCGGGACUGCAUUGGAAACU